GUGCUCAGUCAGAUUUGUUUCUUCUAGAUGCGAACUUUGAGCUUGAAUUUAACUGUAGCCAUUUAUGAUGUAACCCCCUAUGAUAUGGGUUGGAUGGAUAUUAUCUCCAAUUUAUCAACCCUGUUGUCAGUUAAGUCAUGCUUUCUCGUCUUGUAUCUUGGGAAAUAUUUGUCUAUUGUUUCUGAUAAUACCCAAUUUCAUGUUCUCAUUGGUUAGCCACUAAUUACAGACGAGGUACCUGUGUUCAUUGCAUAUCUCUUCAUCUGCUUCGUGUUAAUAUCUUGUAUAAGGUACCUGCGUGUCAUUGCAUGUCUCUUCAUCUGCUUUGUGUUAAUAUCUUGUAUCGUUGUCAUUAAUUUUCUUAAAGUCUUUUGUUUCCUUUUUCUUUGUGGUUUAUGUGACAUCAUCUAGUAAUAUUGACUUGUUUAUUUUCAGAAGAGUAGAUGACUGGUGAUUUUAUAUUCUUAUAGGUUAUAUGGAAACAAGAACGUUAGGGCAUUAGCUACACUAUGCAGUUUAUCUGAAAUGACUGGAUAUCUAGGUUUAAUAACUCAUUGGGAGUGAACUUGUUUAAAUUAGAGGACUGGCACCAUAUCCCAACUAGAGGUGACUUUUUUCUAUUCAAGCUAUGUGAUUGGCGUACACUUGGGGCACACAAACGUCUUGCUGCCAUAUUGACAGGCAGCCAUUCUGUUAUUUGAUUGAUAACAUUUGUCCUUUUUG
rnacentral:lncRNA from 1 species